AGGAAAACAGAGCAGGUAGCAGCGUUAGCUUUCCUUCUGCUAGAAUGCAUUUUGAAUACAGGUUUGGUGUUUUGGGUAAAAUAUUUGACUGUUUGCAGUUAAAAUGUAUUCAGUUCAGUCCCACAGAGAAUUAAUCAGCGAGCAGUGAACUGCAGAAACAUUGACAGAGUUUAAAGAAAUCAUCGUCCAGUCGGAGGAAGAGAUGGAUGAUUAGCGCAGACUGCUUGAUUUCUCCCGGACUCCCCAGAUCAUCUUAUACCGAAUAGAUUCCCUGAAGUGUAACGUUUAUAACCAGGAGAGGAGAUCCACUCUGGACCAGGAGGAGUUAGAACCUCUGCAGGUGAAACAAGAACAGGAAGAGCCAGAAGAUCAUCAGAUAAAAGAAGAACAGAAGGAUCUAGAACACCUGCAGAUAAAAGUGGAAGAGAAAGAAGUUUACUGCAGUCAGGGUGAAGAACUGAUUGAAUUAAAACAGGAGACUGAUACCUGCAUGGUGGUUCCUGUUGAUGAGCAAACAUACCAAACUGAAUCAGAACCAAACAGGAACCAAGACAUCUUAGAAAAGCCUGAUAAAACUGAGAACCAAAUUCAGGACAGAAGAAAAUCUUUCUCAUGCGUCAUCUGUAAAAAGCGUUUGACUUUCAAAUCUGUUUUUGAUUCUCACAUGAGAACUCAUAUGGGUGAAAAGAGGUUCACAUGUGUGACCUGGAAAAAGUUUUUGUCGAAAACAGGUUUUAACUACAGUUAGGGCCAGAAAUAUUUGGACAGUGACACAGGUUUUGUUAUUUUAGCUGUUGACAAAAAUAUGUUCAGAAAUACAAUUUAUAUAUAAUAUGGGCUGAAAGUGCACACUCCCAGCUGCAAUAUGAGUUUCCACAUCCAAAUCGGAGAAAGGGUCUGUAAUGCAGAGCCUCCUCUUUUUCAAGGGACCAAAAGUAAUUGGACAAUGCACUCUAAAGGCUGCAAGUAACUCAAAAGGCCUUUCCCUCGUUAACCUGUAAUCAAGUAAGUAGUUAAAAGGUCUGGGGUUGUUUCCAGGUGUGUGGUUUUGCAUUUGGAAGCUGUUGCUGUGACCAGACAACAUGCGGUCAAAGGAGCUCUCAAUUGAGGUGAAGCAGAACAUCCUGAGGCUGAAAAAAAGAAAAGAUCCAUCAGAGAGAUAGCAGACAUGCUUGGAGUAGCAAAAUCAACAGUCGGGUACAUUCUGAGGAAAAAGGAAUUGACUGGUGAGCUUGGGAACUCAAAAAGGCCUGGGCGUCCACGGAAGACAACAGUGGUGGAUGAUCGCCGCAUACUUUCUUUGGUGAAGAAGAACCCGUUCACAACAUCAACUGAGGUCCAGAACACUCUCAGAGAAGUAGGUGUAUCUGUCUCUAAGUCAACAGUAAAGAGAAGACUCCAUGAAAGCAAUACAAAGGGUUCACAUGUAGAUGCAAACCAUUCAUCAAUUCCAAAAAUAGACAGGCCAGAGUUAAAUUUGCCCAAAAACACCUCAAGAAGCCAGCACAGUUCUGGAAAAGUAUUCUAUGGACAGAUGAGACAAAGAUCAACCUGUACCAGAAUGAUGGGAAGAAAAAAGUUUGGAGAAGAAAGGGAACGGCACAUGAUCCAAGGCACACCACAUCCUCUGUAAAACAUGGUGGAGGCAACGUGAUGGCAUGGGCAUGCAUGGCUUUCAAUGGCACUGGGUCACUUGUGUUUAUUGAUGACAUAACAGCAGACAAGAGUAGCCGGAUGAAUUCUGAAGUGUACCAGGAUAUACUGUCAGCCCACAUUCAGCCAAAUGCUGCAAAGUUGAUCGGACGGCGCUUCACAGUACAGAUGGAUAAUGACCCCAAGCAUACAGCCAAAGCUACCCAGGAGUUCAUGAGAGCAAAAAGGUGGAAUAUUCUGCAAUGGCCAAGUCAAUCACCAGAUCUUAACCCAAUUGAGCAUGCAUUUCACUUGCUCAAAUCCAGACUUCAGACGGAAAGACCCACUAACAAGCAAGACCUGAAGGCUGCGGCUGUAAAGGCCUGGCAAAGCAUUAAGAAGGAGGAAACCCAGCGUUUGGUGAUGUCCAUGGGUUCCAGACUUAAGGCAGUGAUUGCCUCCAAAGGAUUCGCAACAAAAUAUUGAGAAAAAACUUUUUUGUUUGGGUUAUGUUUAUAUGUCCAAUUACUUUUGAGCUCCUAAAAUGUGGAGUGUUUGUAAACAAAUGUGUACAAUUCCUACAUUUUCUAUCAGAUAUUUUUGUUCAACCCUUUAAAUUAAACGUUACAAUCUGCACUUGAAUUCUGUUGUAGAGGUUUCAUUUCAAAUCCAAUGCGGUGGCAUGCAGAGCCCAACUCACAAAAAUUGUGUUACUGUCCAAAUAUUUCUGGCCCUAACUGUACACAUUUUCAUGUGGGAAUUAUGGAAAAUGUUUUCGUUACAAGGUUAGUUUAACUCAGCACAUGAUGAGUCACACUGGUGAAAAGUUGUAGAAGUGUUGUCCAUACAUGUCCUAUGUUAAGGUUCACUAUAGAAUUGAUUUUGUUAAAAACUAGAAUGAAAGACUGGAGGGGUUUCAUGUCUAUAAAGAUGAAAAUUGUUGUUAAAAGUCAUCUUUUGAAUACUUGGAGAUGAGCAACCAUCAAAAAACGAUAAAUUGCAUGUUAUUGUAUUAACAUACUGUUUUUGUCAAACCGUAUGUUGUGUGUGUUCAACAUGAAGAGCUCAGGGCUCUUCAUGUUGCUAUCUUGUUAUUAGAGGAUGAUCAGGGUCUCUGCUCCAACUCUUUAUUUCUAACGGGUCGAUUUGUCCAAUUUUAGAUAUUUUUUCCAUGUAGCGUUUUUUUUUUGGGGCUUCUGGGAGAAGCUUUUCACAAUAUAGCCCACUUUGUUUCAAACUGCUUUUCAGCAUUAUAGCUUGUCCAGAUUCCCUGAAGUGUAAUGUUUAUAACCAGGAGAGGAGAUCCACUCUGGACCAGGAGGAGUUAGAACCUCUGCAGGUGAAACAAGAACAGGAAGAGCCAGAAGAUCAUCAGAUAAAAGAAGAACAGGAGGAUCUAGAACACCUGCAGAUAAAAGUGGAAGAGAAAGAAGUUUACUGCAGUCAGGGUGAAGAACUGAUUGAAUUAAAACAGGAGACUGAUACCUGCAUGGUGGUUCCUGUUGAUGAGCAAACAUACCAAACUGAAUCAGAACCAAACAGAAACCAAGACAUCUUAAAAAAGCCUGAUGAAACUGAGAACCAACAUCAGGACAGAAGAAAACCUUUGUCAGGUGUCAUCUGUAAAAAACAAUUGACUGCCAAAUAUGCUGUCAGUGAUCAUAUCAGAAUUCAUGAGGGUGAAAAGCCGUUUUCAUGUGUGAACUGUGGAAAAAGUUUUAGUCAGAAAACAAAUUUAACUAAGCACAUGAUGAUUCACACUGGUGAAAAGCUGUAGAAGUAUUUUCCGUACAUGUCCUAUGUUGAGGUUCACUAUAGAAUUGAUUUUGUUAAAAACUAGAAUGAAAGACUGGUGGGGUUUAAUGUCUAUAAAGCUGAAAAUUGUUGUAUGUGUUAAAUGUGAUCAUAUGGACGUUGUGCAACCAUCAAAAAAAAAUUAUGAUAAACUUUAUGUUAUUGUAUUAA